rnacentral:rRNA from 1 species
UACAGAGGUCUCAAGCGUUGUUCGGAUUCACUGGGCGUAAAGGGUGCGUAGGUGGUGAGGUAAGUCGGAUGUGAAAGCUCGGAGCUCAACUCCGAAAUGGCAUUGGAAACUACCUUGCUCGAGGGUUGGAGGGGGGACUGGAAUGCUUGGUGUAGCAGUGAAAUGCGUAGAUAUCAAGCGGAACACCAGUGGCGAAGGCGAGUCCCUGGACAACUCCUGACACUGAGGCACGAAAGCUAGGGGAGCAAACAGG